rnacentral:rRNA from 1 species
AUUGAACGCUGGCGGCAUGCUUUACACAUGCAAGUCGAACGGUAACAGGUCUUUCGGGAUGCUGACGAGUGGCGAACGGGUGAGUAAUGUAUCGGAACGUGCCCAGUAGUGGGGGAUAACUACUCGAAAGAGUGGCUAAUACCGCAUGAGAUCUCUGGAUGAAAGCGGGGGACCGUAAGGCCUCGCGCUACUGGAGCGGCCGAUAUCAGAUUAGGUUGUUGGUGAGGUAAAGGCUCACCAAGCCGACGAUCUGUAGCUGGUCUGAGAGGACGACCAGCCACACUGGGACUGAGACACGGCCCAGACUCCUACGGGAGGCAGCAGUGGGGAAUAUUGGACAAUGGGCGAAAGCCUGAUCCAGCAAUGCCGCGUGAGUGAUGAAGGCCUUAGGGUUGUAAAGCUCUUUUACCAGGGAUGAUAAUGACAGUACCUGGAGAAUAAGCUCCGGCUAACUCCGUGCCAGCAGCCGCGGUAAUGUACAG